ACGAUACUUCAUAAUUUUAGAAAAAGUGCCCAUUAACAAAGUUUGUUUCCCAUUUUUAUUUGGUAGUCAUGGAUGUGUAAAUGGCUAACGGCUAGUGGAAUGGACAUGUCCAGGCUGGGCAUGCCAUUUAUAUAAUAGAAAUGGGCUAUUACUAUUCUUAAUAUUAUUAUUAUUCUUACUAUUCAAUUUAGGAUAAGAUCGUGUUUUCUGUCCAAGCUCAAGACGGAGACGUUUCAGUGAACGCAAUCGAUUACUCGUUAGUCGAUCCUAGAGGCAGUUUCUUGAUUAAUCCAACGACCAGUGAAGUGAAAAUAGCCAAACUGAUUGACCGUGACGUCGAAGACUUUGACUUCUACUUUUAUCUAAGCAUUACAGCAACCUGCUUGGUUGAUGUAAUUAUAUUAAAUAAGAUUUCGUGGGUCGGCUGUCACAAAUGGACAUCCUAGUCUUUGAUCCUGAUCUGAAAGACUCUGGCUCUUAUGUCAUGUCGAUCGAAGGUUUGCCCCGAAUUGAGUCCUAGCACAGGCCUUAAUAAUAAUGGAACCUUUUCCCUAAGGAUAGCAUCUUCUGGUUUGUUAGACUACGAGGAUGGCAAUAAACGCAACGUCACCUUUACGUAGAGACACCAGCUCCGAUUCUCACCUUCAUGGAUAGCAAGCCACGAAUAUAUCUGCACCCGAAUCGAGCGACACCCACAUGGAUCGUCAUCCGCAGAAGAACUUUAUAAUGAAGUGUAGCGGACAAAGAAAAAAGAACACAAUUGAAAAAAAAAAUUAUAUGUUUCAAGGUGUCAUUUCUGUAUUUCAGUACCACAAUACAUUUCUUUUUAAAAUUGAACAAAAUGUUUGAAUUGUUAAAAGGUUUCUUCUGUCUCGGUCAUGUCUCCUCCGGAAGCGACAAUAGAGUUCAAUUUAGCUUUAAGCUGAUUUAUAACUCCUUUCCAGAAGAGAGGCUGACCACUC